GGCUCGGUCGCAAUACACAGGCUUCAGGGAAGACCGGAGUUUGCCAUCUCCGUACCACCACCACCACCACACACAGCACCCUCAAGACUCCCUGUGAUCCUGGGAUGCACUCAACGAAGAGUGUGUGGCCCAGGAUUUGAUGGAAAUGCUACAAGAGAAGCAGGCUCUCCCCUUCUGAAAUGAUGAGUGAUAAUGACCAUACAGGUCAACUUUUCCACCACUUGGAGGGAGCCUGUCAAAGAACAAAGGCAACAGAGAAGAGAGCAGAGCUGAGGUUGGGUGAGAGGGAGAAAUUCCUGAGUGCUUGAAUCCCACAUGCCGGAAGCCGCACCACACUUGGACUUCUCAAUACAGGAGCCACUGAGAAACCAAGUCAUGCUGAAGACCUGGAAAUCCCAGCAGGCUGCAAACCAGCUGCAACUACAAUGGGUCAGCCCUUUUGAGAUGCUGCUGACUACCCACUUAUCUGCCAAGUUAGCCAGUGUUAAGCCAUGGAUUCACCACGCUCAGAUAAAACCUGCCCCUCUGGGAUCCCUCCAGAAAAAAACAGGCAUGCUGUUGUGAACCCUAAGAUGGCCUUAAGUUAAUAUUCAAUGCCCAGCCAAAGACCCUAAAUAAGAAGUCAUAAAGGAAACAUGUGCUUUUCAGGUACCAAUCACCCUCCAGAUCUAAGAAUGGCUUCAGGCUGGGGCUGCAGUCACCUCUUUGCCCAGCUUCUCCCCUGCCCUAUUCUGCUUCACUUGCAUCCUUAAAGGUUCCACCCAAGAGCUCUUCUACAAGAAAGCACCUAUAAAGCCAGACACAUUGGCUUAUGCCUAUAAUCCUAGCACUUUGGGAGGCCAAGGUAGGAGGAUGGCUUGAGGCCAGGAGUUCAAGACCAGCCUGGGCAACUUAGUGAGGCCCCGUCUCUAUAAAAAAUAAAAAAAUUAACCAGGUGUGGUGGUGCACGUCUCUAGUCUCAGCUACUCAGGAGGCUGUGGCAGGAAGAUGGCUUGAGCCCAGGAGGUUGAGGCUGCAGUGAACUAAGAUCAUGCCACUGCACCCAUCUUGGGCAACAGAAUGAGAUCCUGUCUCUAAAAAAAUAAAAACAAUUUACAACAGUAAGCACCUGUACACAAGCCCCAUCUCCAGUCC
ensembl:lncRNA SOCS2-AS1 SOCS2 antisense RNA 1